rfam:Aphanomyces astaci strain APO3 cont1.1229, whole genome shotgun sequence.
GGUUCUAUAGUGUAAUAGUUAGCACCCAGGACUCCUAAUCCAGUAUUCCGGGUUCGAAUCCCGGUAGAACCU